UAAAGUAUAUUAUAUAAUUGUAUAAGUCUAGAUCACUAUUUAAUUACAUUAUAUAUAUGAGAUUCAUUAUAUAAAUCAAAUUAUUCUAUAAAAUAUGUAUGUAUAACCAUCAAUAUAUAUAUAUAUAUAUAUAUAUAUAUAAAGGAAUGCACAAAGGAUUCCAUGUGGCAAGCUUAAUUGUUAUUUUUUCCUAAUCUCUCUACUCUUAAUUUUUCUGAUUUAUUCCUAAUCUUUCUAAUUUAUUUAAAUUUUUAUUAGUCAAUUAUUUUUUAAAUUUUAAUUAAUAUUAUUUAAACCCAUUGAUUGGUUUUGAUGGGUGUUAAUGGGUUUAAAUUUUUAUUAAUAUUGUACUCUAUUCUUUUCAUCUCCUCCAUCAUUUGCCUUUUAAUCUUCUCUCUUCACCUACCUAUUGUUCUCUUAUAUUUUGCCAAAGGUGCUCAUCUCUUUUCCCAUCCAUUUCACUACAGUCAUAAAGUAAAGAUCACAGCACAUGAAGAGUGAGUUUUUUCUUUGAAAAUGGAUGAUCGAGAAGGUCAAACAUUUUUCAUUGGGAACAAUGAGAGAAUGGUAUUGUUUCUGUUUUAAUAAUAGUGUGUGAGAGUGAUGUUCUUUUAUAUUAUUAUUUGUUAGUGCUUGUAAUAUUUUGUCUCAUUUAUAAUUUGGUGUGUAAUUUUGAAUUAUACAGGUUAGUAAUUUGAGAAGAUGGAAAACUUGCUCCUAGAGUAAUGUGAUGUGUGGUUAUUCAAGAUAAUGAUGUGCUGCCACUGAAAAAGAUUUUUUUUAAUAAGAGAGCCUUGUAUUAUCUUUGGGUAAUUUAAAUAUUUAAUUGGUGUGGUCAGUGUUCUAAUUAAUCUUAAUUAUUUUUUCUUUUGUUAUGGUUUGGUGCUUUGAACUUAAAACUUUUGGAUUGUUUGGUUAGUGAGAAAGUGAUUUCUUGAUGAUC